UACUGGUUUUUAGAGAAAAAUGUAUUUUUUUUUAUGUUAAAUCGAAGUAGAAUUACAAGCUUGACAAAUGAAUCGGUCAUCGGUUACAGGCGCACAUCUAGUAGUGAUACAUUUUAUCACACUUACCUAGCACUAUGAAACCGACUUUUUGUCAGGCUUGUAAUUCUCCUUUGGUGGCAUAAAAUGACACCGUACGGUGACCGGAUCCUCUUGCGACUGAGCCCGGUUCCAAGCGAUUCGAUCGGCAACUCAACAGCCUUCCGAAUAUCGUCCGAUUCAAAUCCUACGCGAUUAUCUGUUUAAAUGUUAGAUAUUGUGAUUGAAUUUUUGGAAAGCUUUUCUUCAUUCGCAUGCUAGCAUUCUCUGUGUAUUUUUCUUUCUUUCUUUUUCUGUAUUUUAGUCACUUAUCAAUGUCAAGUUCUGCACUUUGUUAUUGUAAAUUUUCGAUAAAAAUGAAUAAAAUUUCUUAUUUCUUUCGUA